rfam:Loxodonta africana unplaced genomic scaffold scaffold_69, whole genome shotgun sequence.
GCAGUGGUAGUUCAGUGGUAGAAUGCUUGCCUUCUAUGCAGAAUACCUGGGUUCAAUUCCCGGCCAGUGCA